GGAUAGGACAAAUUGAGCACAACAUAGAAGAAGAUUUUCAGGCAGCCAAAACAACAGAGAGUGAGGUAUGUGUAAAGUAUGCAACGCUACGAUUAUUUAACACGAUAUGUUUUCAAUAUACUAUUUAAAAUUGUUCGGAUUUGUUAAUAUCUAUAUUGCGUAGUUAACUAGUUGAUUACCUUAUAAACUUGCUCCCUAUUUGUGAGACGAUAUCUAAAGAACCUGAUUCGUUUCAUACCUUUCUACAUAUCGUCGGAAAUUAAAAUGUAAAGACAAAGUUGGUGCCAGAUAAAUGAUAGCAUGUAGCAUACUCUGGAACACGAUUAGAAAAGCAUGGUUCUUCCUUUUUAUUUGGACACUCGAAUUGGUUAAUUGUGUUUUUGCUCUGGUCUGAAAAAAUACUUCAGGGUUGCCAAUAUGCAAACAUGUUACUGACGGCUCAUUGAAUUUAUGUUGACGUAUCCACAAAUACCCUACUUUCACAGUUUAUUUUAUCGUUUUUACUAGCCAUAAUUUAUACUCAGGGUUUUUCCAAAAACUGUGAAUUAUUGCACAUUUAAUAUUCAAUGUGAAAAUAACUGGUCAGCUGAUUUUGGUUUGAAAGUGGACAUUAACUCUUAUUUACCAGCAACUCACAGUUUAGUAAUAUGUCACCUGUUAUUAACUAAGCUUUUACAUUUGAGCAAAUUAAAACUUUUAAUGGCAAAAAUAGCCAAAGAUGUUGCUGAACUGGAGAAUUUUCCCAGAUCAGCUAUCUUAGCCUAAUUAUUACAUUUUGAGUUAACUUCAAUACAGUUUGGGGUUGCCAAGAUUUCAGGUGAUUUUUAUUUUUUUAUUUUUUUUUAUUACAGGUUUCCUUGAAGCUCUGCGGUACUUAUUAAAGUGUACACUGUCAAGAUCACUUGAAUGGUCACAACCAUUCACACUUUAAUGUAUAAACCACACCUACAAUAGUACAAGCUAUGCCUGGGAAUAAAACGUCUGUGUUAC